rnacentral:tRNA from 1 species
UAAGAUGUGUUCUAAACGAAAAGAUUAUGAAUUUUGAUUUCAUAAAUAUAGGUUUAAUUCCUGUCAUCUUAA